UCUUCUAAUGACGUCCCUGUUCGACGAGGAAAAAAGCUGGCCUUGAUCCAAAUCAAGUUCCGGCCGGCAUCUACAGAAGGCUUAAACAUCAAACACACAGACCGGUGGGUGGUUGAAAGGUCCAAAGAUUGAGUUGUUCAGGCGUAAAAAGCAAAACGGUUCUUCUACACGGAGGGAACGUUGUGUGUGAUUACUGGGCUCGAACCAAAACCGGUGGUUUGCAAAAAAAUGAAAAAAAAAAAAACGAAAAAAAAACCAAUGCCUGCAGCUCGAUGUAUCCAGUAAAAUGGUAAAAGUCGCUUUUUGUUAUAGUGCUGAACUGAUCCGCCUUGGGACGAACAGGACAACCGAGGGACAAUCACUUUAUUUUUUCUCGCUAAAAUCCAAGUGAACCAGAACUUACCCGUCAGUCCGACGCAAAGCAGACAGAGGAGCAGAUGGGGAACACGGCAGCUGCGCAUGAUUAAAACCAAAACUGCGGGACUGAUAUGUGGAAUAGGCGAUGGAUCUUGGCCACGGCGCUGGUGGUGUAGGGGUUUAAGCAUGUGACCCAUAUAUGGAGGCCUUAGUCCAUCGUGGGAUCCAACCCCGUCACCGGAAAACGUCAGAAGCAUCAUGGACUAACAUGACCAGGGUUCCUAUUCGGAUGAAAUUGGCACACCAGGAAAAGGACAGAAGGACCAGAGUGGCCAAAUGAACUGGGCAACUGAGGAGCAGAAGUUUUGGUCUUCAGGAGCACAACUCACCUUUCUCUUGACAUCAAAGGCAACACUGCAGAGAAGACAACCAUAGAAGCUCAUCUCCAGGAUGUAAUACCAGUACUGAGACUCC